CGUAAACAAAACGACUCUCGGCAACGGAUAUCUCGGCUCUCGCAUCGAUGAAGAACGUAGCGAAAUGCGAUACUUGGUGUGAAUUGCAGAAUCCCGUGAACCAUCGAGUCUUUGAACGCGAGUUGCGCCCAAAGCCUUCUGGUCGAGGGCACGUCUGCCUGGGU
rnacentral:rRNA from 2 species